CAUGAGAACAUUUCGAUGCAAUAGUAACUUAGUUAGUAUCUCUGCCACUUUUUUUUAACUCAUCUAAUAGAUCUCAUUCAUGACUUGACAUUCGACUUAUUUCUUCAAGAUACAACGUAUAUCAACAAUAUUGAAUAUUCAUAUUGUUGAUUAGGUCUCAACCCGGAAGCUUAUUUACACAUCAUGUAUUACGUUCUUUACAUUUACACCGUCCUUUAGCUGUUAAAUAUACACAUAACAUGAAGUAAUCCUGUUUGUAGGGAGAGCAUUUUAAAAGAGGAUGUCAUUGGAAGUAUUAAGUACAGAAGAACACACUGAUGAUGGUUAUGGGAGACAAUACAGCGCAAAACACACAGUGAGGACAACAUAUAACCACCCAAAGGGUGUCAUGUUUAUGCAUAUUCAUGAGGAUGGGAAAGAUUAUGAGGACCGUUAUCGUCACGAGACUGUAUCAAUUGGCGAUAUUGAAAUUAGAUAUUCUUAUGAUUGGGGAAACUAUUUUACAUGGGAAUAUGUUAAGAUAUCAAAACAGGGUGAUGAAAUCAGCUAUGCACAGCAAGAAUUUGGACCAGUCGAUCCCUUAAAGAAGGAAAGUCGACAAGCUAAUAUAAGGGAAAGGAGGUAUUAAAAAAACUCAGUGAAGAUCUGUGUUUAUCACUUAAAGAUUUUAUCAACAUACUUACGUCAUACUUUAAAAUCAGUUCUGAUGUUUUGAAUAUAUUCCUGAGAUAAUUUGUUAUACGGUGCAAAGUAUUUGAGUUGUGGAUAUUAAAAUUCAUAUUUAAUUAUUCUGAAAUAUAUUUUUCAUUAUUAAAAUCUUCAUAUAAAAUU